rnacentral:rRNA from 1 species
UGAGGAACAUGACUUUCGGUGGGGGAGUAGCCGGCCCAACGGCCGGGUAAUACCGCGUACGACCUUUUGGGGACAUCCCUGAUUGGUGAAAGCAGCAAUGCGCCGAAAGAGUGCCUCGCGGCCUAUCAGCUAGUUGGUGGGGUAAUGGCUCACCAAGGCAACGACGGGUAGCUGGUCUGAGAGGAUGGCCAGCCACAUUGGGACUGAGACACGGCCCAGACUCCUACGGGAGGNAG